rnacentral:rRNA from 1 species
GAUGAACGUUGGCGGCGUGCCUAAUACAUGCAAGUCGAACGAAGACUGUAGUAAUACUGUCUUAGUGGCGAACGGGUGAGUAACGCGUGGGUGACCUGCCCCGAAGUGUGGGAUAACAGUCCGAAAGGAUUGCUAAUACUGCAUAAUAUCCAAGAGAUUAGAUGCUUUUGGAUUAAAGGAGUAAUUCGCUUCGGGAGGGGCCCGCGUCCCAUCAGCUAGUUGGUAAGGUAAUGGCUUACCAAGGCGAUGACGGGUAGGGGACCUGAGAGGGUGGCCCCCCACAAUGGAACUGAAACACGGUCCAUACACCUACGGGUGGCAGCAGUAGGGAAUAUUGCAAAUGGGCGAAAGCCUGAUGUAGCAACGCCGCGUGUGCGAUGAAGGUCUUCGGAUUGUAAAGCACUUUUUGGAGGGAUGAGGAAGGACAGUACCUCCAGAAUAAACCUCGGCUAACUACGUGCCAGCAGCCGCGGUAAGCUAGUCUACG